rnacentral:rRNA from 1 species
ACCUGGCGACGAGUGGCGAACGGGUGAGUAAUAUAUCGGAACGUGCCCAAUAGUGGGGGAUAGCCCGGCGAAAGCCGGAUUAAUACCGCAUGAGACCUGAGGGUGAAAGCGGGGGAUCGCAAGACCUCGCGCUAUUGGAGCGGCCGAUGUCAGAUUAGGUAGUUGGUGGGGUAAAAGCCCACCAAGCCGACGACCUG